UAACAAGGAUUCCCCUAGUAACUGCGAGUGAAGCGGGAAAAGCUCAAAUUUAAAAUCUGGCGGCUUUGGUCGUCCGAGUUGUAUUCUAGAGAAGUGUUUUCCGCGUUGGACCGUGUAUAAGUCUCUUGGAAUAGAGCGUCAUAGAGGGUGAGAAUCCCGUCUUUGACACGGACUACCAAUGCUUUGUGAUACACUCUCAAAGAGUCGAGUUGUUUGGGAAUGCAGCUCAAAAUGGGUGGUAAAUUCCAUCUAAAGCUAAAUAUUGGCGAGAGACCGAUAGCGAACAAGUACCGUGAGGGAAAGAUGAAAAGCACUUUGGAAAGAGAGUUAAACAGUACGUGAAAUUGCUGAAAGGGAAACGCUUGAAGUCAGUCGCGUUAGCUAGAACUCAACCAGGCUUGCUUGGCGUAUUUUCUAGUUAACGGGCCAGCAUCAGUUUUGACCGCAGGAAAAGGGCCAGGGAAAUGUGGCAUCUUCGGAUGUGUUAUAGUCUCUGGUCGUAUACUGUGAUUGGGACUGAGGACCGCAGCACGCGCAAGCUGUGCUUAGGAUGCUGGCGU
rnacentral:rRNA from 1 species